GAUUGAACGCUGGCGGCAUGCCUUACACAUGCAAGUCGAACGGUAGAGUAGCAAUACUCGAGAGUGGCGAACGGGUGAGUAAUAUAUCGGAACGUGCCCAGUCGUGGGGGAUAACGUAGAGAAAUUUACGCUAAUACCGCAUACGAUCUACGGAUGAAAGCGGGGGAUUCGCAAGAACCUCGCGCGAUUGGAGCGGCUGAUAUCAGAUUAGGUUGUUGGUGAGGUAAAAGCUCACCAAGCCGACGAUCUGUAGCUGGUUUGAGAGACGACCAGCCACACUGGGACUGAGACACGGCCCAGACUCCGUACGGGAGCAG
rnacentral:rRNA from 1 species